AUACGGAGGCUGCAAGCGUUAUUCGGAAUCACUGGGCGUAAAGGACGCGUAGGCGGGUUGGCAAGUCAGAUGUGAAAUCCUACAGCUUAACUGUAGAACUGCAUUUGAAACUGCUAACCUAGAGUAUGGGAGGGGGAGAUGGAAUUAGUGGUGUAGGGGUAAAAUCCGUAGAUAUCACUAGGAAUACCGAAAGCGAAGGCGAUCUCCUGGAACAUAACUGACGCUAAGGCGUGAAAGCGUGGGGAGCAGACAGGAUUAGAAACCCUAGUAGUCC
rnacentral:rRNA from 1 species